GUCGAGCGGACCGACGGGAGCUUGCUCCCUUAGGUCAGCGGCGGACGGGUGAGUAACACGUGGGUAACCUGCCUGUAAGACUGGGAUAACUCCGGGAAACCGGGGCUAAUACCGGAUGCUUGAUUGAACCGCAUGGUUCAAUCAUAAAAGGCGGCUUCGGCUGCCGUUUACAGAUGGACCCGCGGCGCAUUAGCUAGUUGGUGAGGUAACGGCUCACCAAGGCGACGAUGCGUAGCCGACCUGAGAGGGUGAUCGGCCACACUGGGACUGAGACACGGCCCAGACUCCUACGGGAGGCAGCAGUAGGGAAUCUUCCGCAAUGGACGAAAGUCUGACGGAGCAACGCCGCGUGAGUGAUGAAGGUUUUCGGAUCGUAAAGCUCUGUUGUUAGGGAAGAACAAGUACCGUUCGAAUAGGGCGGUACCUUGACGGUACCUAACCAGAAAGCCACGGCUAACUACGUGCCACCAGCCGCGGUAAGACGUAUGUGGCAAGCGUUGUCCGGAAUUA
rnacentral:rRNA from 1 species